CCGGACGGUGGCGUGGGAGGACCGCCCGGGCGUGACCCCGGGGCGGGCCGCCGCCGCGGCCCGCCCCGGGGAUCGUCCCCUGCUCAGCCGGG
rnacentral:tRNA from 1 species